rnacentral:rRNA from 1 species
UACGUAGGGUGCGAGCGUUAUUCGGAAUUAUUGGGCGUAAAGGGCGCGUAGGCGGCCGUGCAAGUGGAAGGUGAAAUCCCUCGGCUCAACCGAGGAACUGCCUUUCAAACUGCAUGGCUUGAGUCCGGGAGAGGUGAGUGGAAUUCCCAGUGUAGCGGUGAAAUGCGUAGAUAUUGGGAGGAACACCAGUGGCGAAGGCGGCUCACUGGACCGGAACUGACGCUGAGGCGCGAAAGCGUGGAGAGCAAACGGG